AGAAAAAAACGGCAAACCAGUCGAAAGGCUGCGACGCAAAGCUACAGGGCCUGUAAUAUGGCAGCCAGCCGCACUU
rfam:Faecalibacterium prausnitzii A2-165 genomic scaffold Scfld6, whole genome shotgun sequence.